CUCUUCGGCGCAGGCGGAGAAAUCCAUGUAUCGGGGAUGGUGUCCCUCGGGUCAGUCCCUUGAGAAGUGCAAUCAGCUCUAAUGCACAGAACGUAUAUCGAACCAUGGCUCGAUUUUAAUACUGCUCUUUCUUGCCUCGGUUUAUCCGGGUUCUAUUACAUCGAUCUCUAUAACCGCCCUUUCCCGCUCCCAGCUAGCAUCGAACCGUGACAAGACCGGGGGCUUACCCAUUCGCAUGCGGCUUGUGUCCUCAUGCCACCUACAUGAGCACUACAUGGGACUUUGCCGACUAACUCACGUCGCGAAGCAAGUGUUCAUUUUUAAAAAGCAAGCUGGCAGACAAGCAAGCAAGCAAGCAAGUCUCGGGUUCCCCUUGUAGUAGCAGUAGGUAUUACAGCGAGAGCCCCAGACCCCGAGGCAUUACCCCAAGGUAGGGCCAUCGAGCCACAACGGACCGUGCAUUGGACUUUGAAACCUCCCUUGCGUGCGGGUUUCUGGACGGCGUUAGUUCAACCUUCCUUCCUUAUACACAUGGUUCCCGCAUCAAAGGCAGACGGCAAACCCUGUCAUGGAGACAUCAUUGCAGCCGCCUUCCCAACGGGGGCUCGCAAGCGCCACCCAGCUCGUCAUCAGUCCAAACCGCGAUCACGGCCCUGAUGUACUGCCCGGGCCCCUUGCCGCUGAGCUGGCCCGACCCUACCCAAAGAUCCGGAGCUGUUGACCUGGCCGAACGUGCGGAGGGCCAGCCCCCAGGGCGACGCCUGUUCAGCCCCUCCCUCCCGCAGGCGGGGUCGGCAGCUGAUUCUUUGCACUUUGCAUCAUCACCUUGGGAGUUGUGACCCUAUCUCCCGUGUCGGAAAGGGAUUUACCAAAGAUGGCCUGGUGGCGUAUCGCUUUCAUAACCCAACAAACCCACAGUUACCCCAACCACCGACCGCCGCAACCCUUAACGCCCUGAACCCCCCCUUCCCCAGUGAAUACACGAUACGCGGUCAAAGAGGCCUCUACGUGACCUCUCCCCCCGGGGCCUUGUGCAGCAAUUUUCUAACCUUGGGGCUGGGCCUCUCCGCCAGCUUCCUUGCCCUCCUCCCUCCGCCUCUGUAUUUUCAGCAUUCAAGAAGUAUCAACUGGACUAACACCCUGGCCUCCCCAUAAAACGUAACCCGCAAUACCCAGCGGUCAACGACCUGCACAGGCACCACACACACACACACACGCAGGUUGCCGGCGGCCUGCUAUUACAAUUCCGUCCAGUCAUCUUCGUCCUCUUCCUCCUUCCCCUCCCCCCUUUUCGCCUCCUCCCCACCAACCUCUCUUCCUUUCCCCUCCCCCCUUUCCCGCUCUUCCUUUCCCUCCUCCUCUCCCGCUUCCUCGUCCUCCUCCUCCACUUCUUCCUCCUCCAUCAUCGCCGCCGCCGCGGCGGCAUGCAGCUCCGACAGGCCCGUCAACGCCUCCAGCGCCGCCGGUGACUGCAGCGCCUCCCGCACCAGCCCC
rnacentral:lncRNA from 1 species